rnacentral:rRNA from 1 species
AUGAAUAAUGCAACCUCAUUGAGACAAGUUCUGGAUGAAUAUUGUGCAAGCUCUGGGCAGUUGGUGAGUGAAGGAAAGAGUAGUAUAUUUUUCAGUCCUAAUGUGAACGUUGAGCUGAAGGCAUCAAUGUGUGCAGAACUACAUAUUAUGACCGAUGCUGUUUCAGACACAUAUCUUGGUCUCCCAUGUAUGGUUGGUCUGGACAGAAGUGACAGUUUCGUGCACCUUGUUGAAAGAAUUGUGAACCGUCUGAAGGGUUGGAAGGAAAAGAUCUUGUCCUUUGGUGGCAAGGAGAUUUUGUUGAAAGCAAUUAUAUAG